GGGGGUGUAGCUCAGUCCGGUAGAGCAGCAGACUUUUAAUCUGUUGGUCAAAGGUUCAAAUCCUUUCACCCUCA
rnacentral:tRNA from 1 species